rnacentral:rRNA from 1 species
GACGUAGGGCGCGAGCGUUGUCCGGAUUUAUUGGGCGUAAAGGGCGCGUAGGCGGCACUGUUAGUCAGGCGUGAAAGUCCUGGGCUCAACCUGGGAACUGCGCUUGAUACGGCAGAGCUAGAGGAUGGAAGAGGCUCGCGGAAUUCCCAGUGUAGAGGUGAAAUUCGUAGAUAUUGGGAAGAACACCGGUGGCGAAGGCGGCGAGCUGGUCCAUUACUGACGCUGAGGCGCGACAGCGUGGGGAGCAAACAGG